rnacentral:misc_RNA from 1 species
GCACCCCCGAGUGUGCAGGCAACACCGUUCAAAUGCUGGGCGUGUCGGGCGCAAGCCCGUCACCAUCAGCAGCCGGCGCUCCGGCGCUCGGCUCACAGAUCAUCCGACGGUGACCUAUCAAGGUUAAGAUAUGAUCGGUCCCGGCCCGCCCUGGGCCCUGGAGACACGGAACCUGCGGAAGGAUCAUUACCGAGAGACGGGAUCUAACCGGUCCCAACUCUUCACCCCUGUCUACCCACAAUAUGUUGCUUUGGCGGGCCAACCGGAUCUUCCCGGGGAAGGCUUACCCCUUCUCGUGCCCGCCGAAGGUCUCAAUAAACCCUGUGAUCAGUGUCGUCCGAGUAAAAACAAUCGUUAAAACUUUCAACAACGGAUCUCUUGGUUCCGGCGUCGAUGAAGAACGCAGCGAAAUGCGAAAAGUAAUGUGAAUUGCAGAAUUCCGUGAAUCAUCGAAUCUUUGAACGCACAUUGCGCCCUUUGGUAUUCCGAAGGGCAUGCCUGUUCGAGCGUCAUUGCACCCCUCAAGCAUUGCUUGGUAUUGGGCCUCGCCCCCGCGGCGGGUCUGGAUUUUAGUGGCGGUCCAGCGAGACUUCAAGCGUAGCAAGAUUAUCACAUACCGCUUAGCAA